UACGUAGGUGGCAAGCGUUGUCCGGAGUUACUGGGCGUAAAGCGUACGCAGGCGGUCCAAUCAGUCUGUAGGGACAGGGCACAGCUUAACUGUGUCAGGCUUAUGGAAACUGUUGGACUUGAGGGCUUCAGAGAGAUGGGGAAUUCCGGGUGGAGUGGUGAAAUGCGUAGAGAUCCGGAAGAACACCAAAGGCGUAGGCACCAUCCUGGGGAGUCACUGACGCUCAUGUACGAAAGCUAGGGGAGCGAACGGG
rnacentral:rRNA from 1 species